rnacentral:rRNA from 1 species
GACGAACGCUGGCGGCGCGCUUAACACAUGCAAGUCGAACGGAAAGGCCUGAUUUCCCUUGUGGAUUGCGGGUACUCGAGUGGCGAACGGGUGAGUAACACGUGAGUGAUCUGCCCCCAACUUGGGUAUAAGCCUGGGAAACUGGGUCUAAUUCCCGAUAGGACUGCAGGGUGGUGCCUGUGGUGGAAAACGAUUUUCUAGUGGUUGGGGAUGAGCUCGCGGCCUAUCAGCUUGUUGGUGGGGUAAUGGCCUACCAAGGCGGCGACGGGUAGCCGGCCUGAGAGGGUGGACGGCCACAUUGGGACUGAGAUACGGCCCAGACUCCUACGGGAGGCAGCAGUGGGGAAUAUUGCACAAUGGGCGGAAGCCUGAUGCAGCGACGCCGCGUGGGGGAUGACGGCCUUCGGGUUGUAAACUCCUUUCGACCGCGAGGAAGCCACCUGGUUGGAAGGGUGGUGACGGUAGUGGUAGAAGAAGCACCGGCUAACUACGUG